CUUUGUUGAAUUUUAUCCCUAGCUUUGUUGAAUUUUAUCCCUUGAUUCCCUAUUUUUCAAUUGUAAGUCAAUAAUAAUACAGUUGCUUCUAAGCAAGCAUUUCCAGUUAUCAUUUCACAUGGUCCACUUUAUCUCCAUCUUUCUUUAUCAUCUAUAGCUUUCCCUUGCAAGAGUUAUCAAGAAUCCAAGAAAAGCAACUAUAUCCCAUGUAUACUGAAAAGGCCACGGAUCAGAGGUUCAAGUUUAUGUUAUGGCUCCUAUCACCACCCUCUUCUUCUUCCUCCUAUCUUCUUUUCAUCUUCUGACUGAACCUCAGCUAUUAUCAUUCCAUGUUUUCACAUAUCAAGAACCUCUGUCAAGUCUGGGUUUUUCCCUUCUGGAUGUUCAAACCGUCCUCUGAUAUAUCUGAUUUGCAUCUAUGGAUUAGGAAGCUUCAUCAAGAUUUGGUUUUGCUCUCAUGGAUGUUCCUACCUUCUUGUGAUCUGAUGGCUUUGUGUGCUGGGACUUCAAGCACUUUACCCCUCAUCUCAGUCUUGCUGCCUCUGCAUGUCAUGUAUCUCUCUCUGUUAUUUCGUGCAUCCGUUGUAUGUAUGCCAAAUAGAUUUUGAUUAUGGUGAGAUUUAUGAGCUUCACUGUGAUCAAUGGUUAUGAUAAUGGUUAUAAUGAAAUUUUGUGCUCUAAAUUUUUUUUU